rnacentral:rRNA from 1 species
UACGUAGGUGGCAAGCGUUUGUCCGGAAUUAUUGGGCGUAAAGCGCGCGCAGGCGGCCCUUAUUAUGAUGUGAAAGCCCCCCGGCUCAACCGGGGAGGGCCAUUGGAAACUGGGAGGCUUGAGUAUAGGAGAGAAGAGUGGAAUUCCACGUGUAGCGGUGAAAUGCGUAGAGAUGUGGAGGAACACCAGUGGCGAAGGCGACUCUUUGGCCUAUAACUGACGCUGAGGCGCGAAAGCGUGGGGAGCAAACAGG